rnacentral:misc_RNA from 1 species
AUCACAACACGAAAAAUCAAGCAAACAGGAAUUAGAUUUCUUCUUCGAUAAUGGAUAAUCUCUUCUUCAGGAGCCACCUUAGCUACCCGUCCACCCCUCGCUACUAUUACCCACCUGUCCGACAUGUACCUGUGCACCGCCAGACGACGCCGGUUCAGAAGGUGGUGGAGAUUCCCGUUCGUUAUGUAGAGUCUGCGCCUAGCAGGUUGGAUUCUGUGGUUAAGAUUCAGAAGGUGUUCAGGGGGUUUUUGGUCAGAAAAAGCGUUAGGAAGAUUGCUGCAAUUAGAAGGGAGGUUGAUGAGAUAGAGACGAGGAUUUCGAUGAAGGAAACUGUGGAGCUGAUUCGGAGGGAUUCGAAAGAGACGUUGAAGGUUAAUGAGAUGCUUAUGAAUUUGUUGUUGAGGUUGGAUUCUGUGCCGGGUGUGGAUUCUGGAGUUAGGGAUUGCAGGAGGGCUGUGAUUAAAAAGGCGAUCAGGUUGCAGGAGAUGGUUGAUGCUAUUGUUGCUGGUGAUCAAGCAUUGGAAGUAGAUGAUUUGGCCAAGAAAGGCGAAGAAGAUGACGACCAAACCCCAGAAAACCAAGAUAGGGCCCCUGACUCUGAAGGUAUUGUUGCUAAUUCUGCUUUUAAUUCCAAUUCUUCGAAGAAAUUGCAAAAUCAUGUUGGAUCUGUACCAAAAAGCGAUUCUGUUUCUAUUGAUAAUGUGGGCGAAUCGGAGAAGAUGCCUGAAGUGUUUGAAGAAACGUCAAAAUUGCAAAACCCAGGACAACAAGACUCUAAAACGGCUCGUGAAGGCCUGGGGGGUGUGGAAGCUGAAGUUGAAGUUAUAGAAGAUGGAAAUAUGGAAGAUAAUGUGUCAUUAUCAGGGAGUGAAUGUGCAGAAAGUGUGGAUGUAAGUCGAGAAGAGAGCCAAGUGGAUUCCUCUGGGAACCCGGAAGAUGAUCCCUUGGAAAACCAUGAAGCUGUAGCUGAUCAGAAUGAAGUAAGAUAUGAGAAAGAGCAAUCUUGUGGCGACAAAAAUGAAGCAAGCGGAAAGAGCAGAGAACUUCUGGAGAGGAUGAUGGAAGACAAUGAGAAAAUGAUGGGGAUGAUGACGGAGUUAUUUGAGAGGAAUGAGAUGCAAACAGGGUUACUGAGCUCACUGUCACAGAGGGUUGAGCAGUUGGAGAGGGCUUUAAUGUGUGAAAGAUCAAAGAGGAAGAAGAAGAAGAGAAAUGCUGUUGUAUUAGUGGAUUGUUUAGAAUCAACACAAGAUGCUAAAAAAUGUGGAAAGAGAUAAUGAAUCUUUAGCACAUGUGAUAAGAGUAAAAUUGAUGUAUGGAUUUUGGGUUUGUUUCUGUAAGUUGAUAUGAAUGCAGAUUCUUUCUUUCAGUUUGAUCUUUCACACAUUAAAGCCCUCUC